CUCUAGCGUUUGGUUUCUUAGAAUACGCCCACAGCCUUCCAAAAAUAUUCAGCAUCAUCAAUCCUCUAUCAGCUAUGCUUUCCAUGAAAAUGUUCACUUCACUCUCUGUAAUCUCAUCAAACCUCAAGAAGAAAACAAUCCCGUUUUAUACACCGAACUCUAUCACUACCAAACCACCGAACCCUCCUUCUCUCGUACUUUCCUCUGCAUUCUCAAAGGGAAAGAUCCUGAACAGCCCUUUACACGACAAACCAAACCUUAUAUCCCUUGUCUCUCGCUUGCUACUAGUGAAUGUCCAAUCUAAUUACCCAC
rnacentral:misc_RNA from 1 species